rnacentral:rRNA from 1 species
GAUGAACGCUGGCGGCGUGCCUAAUACAUGCAAGUCGAGCGAACAGAUAAGGAGCUUGCUCCUUUGACGUUAGCGGCGGACGGGUGAGUAACACGUGGGUAACCUACCUAUAAGACUGGGAUAACUUCGGGAAACCGGAGCUAAUACCGGAUAAUAUUUCGAACCGCAUGGUUCGAUAGUGAAAGAUGGUUUUGCUAUCACUUAUAGAUGGACCCGCGCCGUAUUAGCUAGUUGGUAAGGUAACGGCUUACCAAGGCGACGAUACGUAGCCGACCUGAGAGGGUGAUCGGCCACACUGGAACUGAGACACGGUCCAGACUCCUACGGGAGGCAGCAGUAGGGAAUCUUCCGCAAUGGGCGAAAGCCUGACGGAGCAAUGCCGCGUGAGUGAUGAAGGUCUUCGGAUCGUAAAACUCUGUUAUUAGGGAAGAACAUACGUGUAAGUAACUGUGCACGUCUUGACGGUACCUAAUCAGAAAGCCACGGCUAACUACGUG